rnacentral:lncRNA from 1 species
GGAGAUUAAAAAGGGGAAAAAAAAAUCCUUAAACUCUUUCAACAUUAAUAUUGCCUGUGAGGAAUCCAGCCGCGACCUAAGCCUCGGAGCUUUUCGAACCUAGCAAGCAGAAGGGUGCAGUUUUGUGUUAAUAUAAGAGAAGUGUGGCCUUCCUUCUCGUCGCGCUAAAAGUGAACUAAUCCCUGUGUAAGGAACCAAAGAGUAUCGACAAUCACAUAUCAAGAGCUUGCUGCAGAGGGAAGCUCGGAAUUCCGUACUAUAGCAAUACAAAUGGCUGGCACUGUCACUGAAGAGUCUGAGGAACCCCUCUUCCGACAUAGUUUUCUUUUUUUCCCCAAAGCACUGUCUGAGAACUUUAUCUAGAACUAUGGAGGAGGGAGAGACAUACCACAGCACAACACAUUCUGCAGCAUUAGGAAGCUCCAGCUCAGAAUUGAUGCUGUGUGACUUCUGACAUUUCAUUCUCCAGUGCAAAUCGGACAGUUAGACGUGAUUUCAACACGAGCAGAUCCCCAUCGGAGUUGGUAAGAAGGAUUGCACUCUGCCAUGGAAGCUGAAUGGACGAAUAUUCCCCCCUCCUUUUGUAAAAAUAUUCCUUAUUUUGCUGUCAAG